rnacentral:rRNA from 1 species
UACAGAGGGUGCGAGCGUUGUCCGGAAUCACUGGGCGUAAAGGGCGCGUAGGUGGCGCCGCAAGUCCAUGGUGAAAGCUCGAUGCUCAACAUCGAGUCGGCCACGGAGACUGCGGGGCUCGAGCACUGUAGGGGCAGAUGGAAUUCCGGGUGUAGCGGUGGAAUGCGUAGAGAUCCGGAAGAACACCGGUGGCGAAGGCGGUCUGCUGGGCAGUUGCUGACACUGAGGCGCGACCGCGUGGGGAGCAAACAGG